rnacentral:misc_RNA from 1 species
AGUCGCUAGCAGUUAGUAGUCGCGUUCGGUGGAGCUUCUGCUGGAGCUCCGGAGAAAUUUCAUUGAAUUCUAUAAAAUAAUUGAUUUAUUGAUGAUUUGUGGAAAAAGGAGCUUUAUAUAGUUAAUGUGAAACCGGGAAAUUGUAAUUAUAUACAACCAUAUGCAACAAAAGUGAAUUAUACACUUAUAUUGUGAAGAAGUGCCCACAAAAGAGUACUAAUUCAAACUAAUGAAUUUCCAGUGUAAAUGAAAAUUAAGUAAAAGAAUUUUAUGAAAAGUGAAAAACAAGAAAUAAAUUGGUUUGAUUUUCAUAAACUGACUAUACCCCAAGGACCUUGUUAUUUAAAAAAAAUAAAAAGUGGAAAACCCUAAAGUGCACUUUCUUCUAAAAUAGACGAGUAUCCUAAUUGUGGUGGAGUUGUAUUUUUCGGAGUCAACGAGUAUUCGUCUAAUAAUUUCAGUGCAACUUUUGGAUUAGUUUUCAUUACUGCAAAAUUGUAUUCAAGAUUCCUCUCUUCAAUGGUAGUCUGUGGAAUUUCGGAAAGGGCAGCGAAUCGAUUUGAAUUUAUUCCGAGAGUGUAAAUUCUUUUACUAAAGUUACGCAUAUUGAACUAUAGAAAAUUUGUGAGUUUUAUAGAGAUUUUGAUAGCUCGGAAAGUUCUAGCAAGAUAUUAUAUAAUUUAUUGAAAAAGGUCGAUUGAAGUGCUAGCAAGGUAUUAAAGGAUUUAUUGAGAAAGUCGAUUAAACGGAUUAAAGAUAACCAAACUAACACCACAAGGGUCCAUCAUAAUACAACCAAAGUCAAAGUGGUCCAUAAUGAGUGUAGUGGACCCGACAUAAAAAAAUUAAAUUUUCCUCAAAUAAGUUUAGUUUCUUCCGGUUAUUGUUGGCGGAUAGUGGAAUUCUGUGUGAGAAUACGAGUCCUUAGUGAAAGUUGUAAGCUAAAUUAUGUCUGCACCACAAGUUGAAAGGACAAAUCCCAAUAUUGAGUAUAAUAAUGUGCGACCGAUUAAUGGUGAACGCCACACUGUGCAUUGGUUUCGAAAAGGAUUGAGAUUGCACGAUAAUCCAGCGUUACGAGAAGGACUUAUUGGCGCGACAACCUUUCGAUGUGUUUUUGUCAUUGAUCCUUGGUUUGCUGGAAGUUCAAACGUUGGAAUAAAUAAGUGGAGAUUCCUUUUACAAUGCCUCGAAGAUUUGGAUCGAAGUCUGCGACAAUUAAAUUCCCGAUUAUUCGUUAUUCGUGGUCAGCCAGCCGAUGCUUUGCCGAAAUUAUUCAAGGAAUGGGGCACAACAUGCUUAACGUUCGAAGAAGAUCCCGAGCCAUUUGGGAAAGUUCGUGAUAAGAAUGUUAUAGAGAUGUGUCGUGAAUUAAAGAUUGAAGUAAUUGUUGCAGUAUCUCAUACACUCUAUAAGUUAGAUACAAUAAUUGAGCGAAAUGCGGGGCGAGCACCCCUCACCUACCACCAGUUCCAGGCGAUAAUCGCUGAAAUGAAGCCACCUGCAAAACCAGAGGAAGCCAUCAACAGUGAAAACAUCGGAAACGUUUAUACACCAAUGUCCGAAGACCAUGAUGACAAAUACAAUGUACCGACCUUAUAUGAACUAGGUUUUGAUACGGAAGGACUGAAACCACCCGUAUGGGUUGGUGGCGAAACUGAGGCGUUGGCUAGAUUGGAAAGACAUUUGGAGCGAAAAGCAUGGGUUGCAUCUUUUGGCCGUCCAAAAAUGACUCCACAAUCACUUCUAGCUAGUCAGACAGGGCUGUCACCGUAUUUACGUUUUGGUUGUCUUAGUACAAGAUUGUUUUAUCAUCAAUUAAGUGGUAAGUUUCAAAACUUGUACAAGAAAAUCAAGAAAGGAAAUCCACCCCUAUCAUUACACGGUCAACUUCUAUGGCGUGAAUUCUUCUAUUGUGCGGCAACUCGUAAUCCAAACUUCGACAAAAUGGAAGGCAAUCCAAUUUGUGUGCAGAUACCAUGGGACAAGAACUGUGAAGCUUUAGCUAAAUGGGCGAAUGGUCAAACCGGCUUUCCAUGGAUCGAUGCAAUCAUGACACAACUCAGGGAAGAAGGAUGGAUUCACCAUUUGGCACGUCAUGCAGUCGCUUGCUUCCUGACCAGAGGGGAUCUAUGGAUAUCCUGGGAGGAAGGGAUGAAAGUGUUUGAAGAAUUGUUGCUGGAUGCUGAUUGGUCUGUGAAUGCUGGAAUGUGGAUGUGGUUAUCGUGCUCGUCAUUUUUUCAACAGUUUUUUCAUUGUUAUUGUCCUGUCCGGUUUGGACGCAAGGCUGAUCCUAAUGGAGAUUAUAUUAGGCGAUAUUUGCCUGUACUUAAGAAUUUCCCUACCAAAUACAUUCACGAACCUUGGAAUGCACCCGAAAGUGUCCAGAGAGCUGCCAAAUGUAUUAUUGGAAAAGAAUACUCCUUGCCAAUGGUUAAUCAUGCCGUGGCGAGUAGAACUAAUAUGGAACGUUUGAAGCAAGUUUACCAACAAAUCGCCAAAUAUCGGCCUCAAGAUGAUGAGUCUAGCAUGAAAGGAGGAUCUGCAAUUCCUGGUAUGCUUGCAGCGGCCCGUGCACAAUGUGGAACAACCAUGAACAUAGUAUCCAGCCCUAGCCCGACAACUGUGAUAACAAACAUAAACAAUUCCGAGAACAACUAUAUUUGCCAGCAGCAGCAACAAGCACCAAAUUCAGGACAUGUUAACCUUGUCACCAACAAUCAUCAACAAACAGCGCGAUCUCGAUAUAUUAUCACAAAAAGGGAGUAUGAUUUCUCGAAGCAGGAGAGCUUAACCGUAACCUCCACCUCUGGGUAUAUCCAACAUCCUGAACAGCCACCACAUCAAAAGUCCGGUUACGACAAAUCCAUCCUUGGGGAGAAUUUUCAGUACAACGAGAACAUCAAAAAUCAACAGGAGCGCAACAACCAACACUACAACCGCAUGACAAUUUCGGAUUUGAACAACGAACAAAAUAUCAAAUCAGAGGGACUGACUGCAGAUGUCCUGACCUACCGUAAGCAGUACAUCAACCACUCCGUAGUAGUGCACUAUGGCUACAACUCUAAUGAAUGUACCAACGAGCUUAGCUACGACAAUUACCGCAAUGAAUAUCCUGGAUCGAAUCAUGAUAUAACCUUGCAGAUUUACCAUCAACAACAGCAACAUCAUCAGCAGCAACAACUGCAACAGCAGCAUCAGAUGCAACAUCAACCCCAACAUGAUUCGUUGAAUAAUUUAUCGAAUGUGCAUCAACAGUUGCAGCAACAAAUGAAAACCGAAGCCAACGAGAUAAAAGCACCGAAUUUUAAAUGUGAUCUGGACGAAAACUCCAAGUGAAGCAUAUUGAGCACCAUUUUGUAAUGGAUGUGACAAUUAGAGAAGAAGCAGAUGUCACCUGCGAAUUUAUUUUUCCAUUGGUGCCCCUUCGGAGAAGGCAGAUUUGAUGGGCUCCCUCUUGAGCUCCAAUAUAUAUUUAACGUUUCUAAUAUUAUAAAUCAAAUUAAAAGCUAAUCAUUACAACUCCAAUAACUUUUUUAACCUAUGGACUCGGACGCCUAACACCGUAUUCUUCCUUUUAAUUUUUUGAGGAUGGAUUCAACCCCAUAGAGAACAGAAGAAGUAAAUAAAUGAAAAAGUCAAAAGUGAGAAAGUGAAAUAGUGACAAAAUGAAUAAAUAAAAGUGCAAAAAAGUGAAAAAAUCAAAAAGUGAGAAAGUGAAAAAAUUAAAAAGUGAAAAAGUGACAAAGUCGAGAAGAGAAAAAGCGAACAAAUUGUGUUUUUUGUAGAAAAUUGAAGGUUUGAAGAAGGUUAUACCAUAAGAAUCUAAAACAGAAGGAUAGCGGAAGAAUAGAAAGAAGAAGAAGACGAUUAGAACGAACUACGCAAAAAUUAGAAUAGACAAGCGGAACAUCCUGUGAGACUGCACUGCAUUUACUACUGCUUCAACAAAUAUGCUGAGCGUUCGCGUCACAACCUAUUAAGGGUUCAACGCCACUUGAUUCUGAAUACGCUACCCGAUCCCUUAGUUCUUGCGUCGGCGGUGGACA